rnacentral:lncRNA from 1 species
CUUGAUUAAUUUUGACUUUAUUUUAUUUUUUUAUUUUUAUUUUUCCCAGUUUUUAUUUUUAUUUUUCAAUCCCUAAUUUUUUAUUUUUCUUAUUUUUGUACUAACAAUCUCUCUCUAGAAUAUUUGUGCAGGAUGCAGGGUGUUCCAGGCAAUUUCAACCACUAGUGGGGAUCUCACUCAAGCAUAAAUGAAAAUCAAUUUGGGCAAGUAGGUGGGCUAUUCACUAUACCACCACAAGCUAACAGUGCUACAAAGCUUGAGGAGACUCUCAAAUAGUUUUUAAAGGAAUCUCUCAAUUUAGAAAAGCAUUCACGCAUCACUUAAAAACAUGGAGGCACAUUGUAAGUUCAUAACUCAGAAACUGGAUUAUAUCAAGAACA